GAAGAUAAGAAUAAGAUUUAUGCCUGCACAAUUGCUAAACACGAGCAAAGCAUUGCAGUUUUACGAGACGAAGCGAUGAAUGCUCAGCAACUGCUUGCAAGCGCAGAGAUAAAAGUUUCGAUGCUUCAAGAAGAAAAGCAACUACUUCAAGAUCUUGAAAAAAGCCUUACAGUUGAAAGAAAUGCAUUGUUUGCAUGAAUAUUUACGCCGCCCAUCACAAUCCGGAAUUUUUCCCUGAUCCGGAAUCUUUCAAACCGGAUCGAUUCCUGCCGGAGAACAGCGUCGACGACAUCUGUACGCUUUUAUUCCAUUUAGCGGUGGCGUCCGCACUUGCAUCGCGCAAAAAUACGCCAUGAUUGAGCUGAAAGUUUGUCUGGCCAACAUUUUACGGAAAUCGAAAUUUUCUCUUUCCGAUCCAUCGGCAUGAAAAAAAAAUAAAUAAGUUUGCAAUGGCGUUGCUGCAACUUCACGCGCCAUUGGCGGAGAAGACUCAUCCGAAUGCCAUAUGCUGAAUGCCAUAUCGCCCUUUCCGGAUGCUUCCGAGACGCGGACGUCUUUCGAAUUUGAUUAUUCAGCCCUGGCGUUGCCCGUUCCGCUGGAAUUCGCUGACACGGACCGUUUGCAAGAUGUGCCUAUCGACGGCUUUGAUAAAGAGACUGAAGGCUGCGAUGUUCCGACUAUACCGGUGGAGAGUUUAAAUGUUAUAAGUUAUAUGUUAUACGUCGCAUGUUAUAAGUAACGUUGAUGAAAUAAAUAAAAUAAAGUUG
rnacentral:lncRNA from 1 species